rnacentral:piRNA from 1 species
UGGUAGCCAGGACUUGGGGAGCAAAG